rnacentral:rRNA from 1 species
GACGAACGCUGGCGGCGUGCUUAACACAUGCAAGUCGAACGGACAGGCCCUGUUUUUGUGCGGUGGUCGAGUGGCGACCGGGGGAGUAACCCGUGAGUAACCUGCACCUAUCUUAGGGAUAUCUUAAGGCAAAUGGGGCUCUUACCGGAUAGGAGCUACUGCUGCAUGGUGGGGGUUGGAAAGUUUCGGCGUUUGGGGAUGGAAUGGCGGCUUAUCAGCCUGUUGGUGGGGUAGUGGCUUAACCAGGCUUUGAAGGGUAGCCGGCCUGAGAGGAGGAACGGCGACAUUACUCCUGAGAUACGGCGCAGACGCCAACUGGAGGCAGCGGUGGGGAAUAUGACACAAGGAGCGGACGCCGGAUGCAGCAACGCCAGGAUCGGGAUGACGGCCUACGGGUUGUAAACCGCUGUCGCCUGUGACGAAGCGUGAGUGACGGUAACGGGUAAAGAAGCACCGGCUAACUACGUG